UGGUUGGAGGUAAGUCAAUUCUAGCACGUGUGGCGAUGAUGGAAGAAUUCGCGAAUAGCUUGAGUCAAGGAAGAUCGAUCAUGCGUCUGGGGAGGUUUACAUAUGUGUGGAUACCACUGAUCAACCACGUGCUGACAAAAGAGAUGAA
rnacentral:ribozyme from 1 species